rnacentral:lncRNA from 1 species
AUUCUAGGUCGUCUGAAGUUCACAGAACAUAAAGUUCAAGGCAUGGACGGCCAUUUGUGGGGCUGGACAGAGGAGCAUGGGGUAUGUCAGGAAAGUUCGUGCUGCUAGGCAGAGGAACUGCAGCUUGUUGGCAGGUGAAGGGAGCCUGUUUAGCUGUGUCCAGCAACAACUUACGUGGUCCUGCUUGUGUUCCAGGUGAAGCGUCUGGCCGCCGAGCAGAGGAAUCAAGACCUGCUCAUUCUUUCCUCGGGGGAUCCAUCCAGCAAUGACAUCAUCUCAUGCUGCCACAAGGACCCCAAGUCUGGGCUGCUGGGGACCAGCCACGCUCCCCACUGCUCAUUCCUUCAUCCUAGAGACAUUCUGACUCUCCUCCGACUGCGCUGUGCACAGCAUAUCCUAUUGCACUGUGCUCACCCUUCUUCGUGGGGUGACAUAAGGGGUUGUGAUGCCCACGUGACGAGGUUCAGUGCGGUGAGUAUUGCUGGCACUGUGACCUGGCUUGGCUGCAGCUGUCUCCCAAGGAGGCACAGAAGGAGGGUCCCUGCUUCCAUCAUACAGCCCUGGCGGUGCUGGUGGCUGACGUCAGGAGCAGGCGACGUGGAUACCAGGUAGGAGCACAGACCGUGGGUCUGCUGGAGAUGGGAGAUCACGACCCGGGCAGAAUGGAGCGAGAUUUCAUCAUGCUACUCAGAACAGCACACAACUUAAAACUCGUGAAUUGUUUAUUUCUGGAAUUUUUUAUUUAAUAUUUUCCAACUGAACACAGAAGGGGAAACUGGAUAAGAGGGGACGACUAUAACUGCAAAGCCACCGUACACACUCAGCUGCAGCUCCUCAGCACCCGGGGGGCCACUGAGCUACAUGGUAACCACCACGCAGCAGCCUCUUUAAUUUGCACAGGCAUGUGUGUGCACACACACAUGCACACACAGAUGCGCAUACACACACGUGCACACACG